rnacentral:lncRNA from 1 species
GGGUCUUUCGUUUCUUGGGACUGAAGUUUCCUGGCCACAGACCUCUGUUAGGUCUGUAGGAAAUUUUGCUGGAGGCAGGGAGGGGGCAUGAAAAUAAUUUUUAUUUAUUUUCUCAGGUGGGUGCCUGAACCUGCCUUUCAAAGAGGGUUUUCUUAGACCGUGGCCAGAAGCAGAGUCACAUGCUCAAAUGGUCAGAGCUGGAUGGGACUGUGCAAGUUGUCCAGGCAUAUCAUCCUACAGUUAAACAUCAUCUGGAUCCUGCAAAGCGGACUUGAAAGGCAGCCUGAAAGGGAGAGGCCGGGGCUUCCUGCUUGGGCUGGUUCCGUUGAGAAAGCUCUAGCCACCUGGUAUCUGGCACGGGGACUAAUGUGGAAAAGGAUAACUGGCCUUCCAGGCCGAGAGCCUAAAGGAAAGCUUCAGGAGAAGAUUUGAAUGCAGGAAAGAAACCAGACAGCCUCAAAAAGGACAAUCUCAGUGUUAGCCCUGUCGGUGCAGGAGCAGACUGGUACCUGCCACCUCUGGAGAGGUGUUUUCUUUGGAGACGGCUAAGGCGCCAGCUUAUGCUUGCCUGUGGACCCACUGGAGCCG